rnacentral:rRNA from 1 species
UACGAAGGGGGCUAGCGUCGCUCGGAAUUACUGGGCGUAAAGGGAGCGUAGGCGGACAUUUAAGUCAGGGGUGAAGUCCCAGAGCUCAACUCUGGAACUGCCUUUGAUACUGGGUGUCUUGAGUGUGAUAGAGGUAAGUGGAACUCCGAGUGUAGAGGUGAAAUUCGUAGAUAUUCGGAGGAACACCAGUGGCGAAGGCGACUUACUGGAUCAUUACUGACGCUGAGGCUCGAAAGCGUGGGGAGCAAACAGG